GACGAACGCUGGCGGCGUGCCUAAUACAUGCAAGUUGAGCGCUGAAGGUUGGUACUUGUACCAACUGGAUGAGCAGCGCACGGGUGAGUAACGCGUGGGGAAUCUGCCUUUGAGCGGGGGACAACAUUUGGAAACGAAUGCUAAUACCGCAUAAAAACUUUAAACACAAGUUUUAAGUUUGAAAGAUGCAAUUGCAUCACUCAAAGAUGAUCCCGCGUUGUAUUAGCUAGUUGGUGAGGUAAAGGCUCACCAAGGCGAUGAUACAUAGCCGACCUGAGAGGGUGAUCGGCCACAUUGGGACUGAGACACGGCCCAAACUCCUACGGGAGGCAGCAGUAGGGAAUCUUCGGCAAGAGACGAAAGUCUGACCGAGCAACGCCGCGUGAGUGAAGAAGGUUGUCGGAUCGUAAAAAUCGGUUGGUAGAGAAGAACGUUGGUGAGAGUGGAAAGCUCAUCAAGUGACGGUAACUACCCAGAAAGGGACGGCUAACUACGUG
rnacentral:rRNA from 1 species